GACGAACGCUGGCGGCGUGCUUAACACAUGCAAGUCGAACGGAAAGGCCCUUCGGGGUACUCGAGUGGCGAACGGGUGAGUAACACGUGGGUGAUCUGCCCUGCACUUUGGGAUAAGCCUGGGAAACUGGGUCUAAUACCGAAUAGGACCACGCGCUUCAUGGUGUGUGGUGGAAAGCUUUUGCGGUGUGGGAUGGGCCCGCGGCCUAUCAGCUUGUUGGUGGGGUAAUGGCCUACCAAGGCGACGACGGGUAGCCGGCCUGAGAGGGUGACCGGCCACACUGGGACUGAGAUACGGCCCAGACUCCUACGGGAGGCAGCAGUGGGGAAUAUUGCACAAUGGGCGGAAGCCUGAUGCAGCGACGCCGCGUGAGGGAUGACGGCCUUCGGGUUGUAAACCUCUUUCAAUAGGGACGAAGCGCAAGUGACGGUACCUAUAGAAGAAGCACCGGCCAACUACGUG
rnacentral:rRNA from 1 species